ACUUAAUACAGGGAACUUUAAAGCUCUUUUUUUUUUUUUUUUUACCACUGUCCCUUCUUCCCUAUCUCUCUCUCAGGUGCCUCCCCAGAGGUAACACUGCAGAUAUUUCCAGAUACUUCCAGACGUUUCUAAAAUCGGUAGACUCAUGGGUACAUCAAGGGUGUGCAAAACUACAAAAUAUACAGGACCGUGUUAUGUUUUUUAUUUUAUUUUUUUUUUUAUUUAAAAAAAAUUUUUUUUUCAACGUUUAUUUAUUUUUGGGACAGAGAGAGACAGAGCAUGAACGGGGGAGGGGCAGAGAGAGAGGGAGACACAGAAUCGGAAACAGGCUCCAGGCUCCGAGCCAUCAGCCCAGAGCCUGACGCGGGGCUCGAACUCACAGACCGCGAGAUGGUGACCUGGCUGAAGUCGGACGCUUAACUGACUGUGCCACCCAGGUGCCCCGAGUGUUAUGUUUUUUAAAUAAACACACACCACUGCCUCCAGGAUCCACUGGCUAAAACCAUCAUGAGGCUCCUUUCAACCCUGCGUGGAGGGGGAAGGAGGUGCCAGGAUUAUCAUCUUGCCAUGUGCCCGGCAAGAGAGGAAGGCUAAAAAGGAGCUUAAAGUCAACAGCCACCUUGGACCCAGGUCCGUCGAGCAGCCCAAACAAGGCAACAUUGCAGGAACUGAAGAACCGUGCAGAGCACACACUCAGAGGAUGUCGGAGGCCGAAAAGCCUGGGCGAUCAGCUUCAAGCCCCACCCUUCCGUUUACAAACAGGUGCCUGGUGGGUCGGUCUCUGAUGCUGCCGUGACACAUUGCUACAGCCUUACUGGCUUGAAACAACACAAAUUUAUUAUCUUACGGCUCUGUAGGUCAGAAGUUCAACACGGGCCUCGCUGGACUCAACUCAAGAGGCCAACGGGGCUGCAUUCCUUUCCAGAGGCUGCCUGCCUUCCUUGGCUCGUGGCCCCUUUCCAGUUUCAACGUCAGCAGCAUGGGAUGAGCCCUCCUCACAUCACAGCGCCUGACCUCCGGGGCCUCUCCCUUCCACUCUGGGGGACCCUUGUGAUUACCUUUGGCCCAGCUGGAAAAUCCAGGGUACUCUCCCCAUGUUAACCUCAGCUGAUCAGCAGCCUUAAUUCCAUCUGCCACCUGAAUUUCUCUUUGUCAUGUGUCAUGACAUAUUCACAAGUUCCAGGAAUUAGGGCGUGCACAUCUUUGGGGGCCGUUAUUCUAUCUUCCCCGAGAGGGUUAAUGACUCACCCGAGACAGGACUAGGGAUACAUCUGACACUUAGUAUUUUUCUACUCGCUCACCCUGUUUUUCAGCACAGAAGGCAUACAGCUGGGUGCUUAAAAGCACGGCCUUUGGGAUCAGAUAGAUCUGGGUUCUGUGAUCUGGGCUCAAAGUCUAGCUGUGCUUUUAUUAGCUGUGAGAACCUGGGAAAAUGACUUAAGCUCUCUGGACCUCAGUUUCCUCGUCUGUUAUAUGGGGACAAUAGUAACAACCUCAUAGUGUGAAAACCCACGAACAGUGUUUAGCAUGUUUAGGACGAUGAUGGGAGCGUCUUCGAGAUGAAGUUCUUCCGCGUGGAUAUGUGGGUAUUGGAGAAGAUACGUACAGCACCCAAUAAGUGAUAUCUCUUAGUAUGAUUUAUAAUCAAACACCACAGUUGACCACAGCCCUUUGUGAGGAAAGCAUCUCAGGUAUUUUCACAGCCAUUUUCGAGUUACGGAAAGGAGCUGAGAGAAUUAAAAUGUCUGGAGUGAGGUCAUUCAGUAAGUCCGUGGUGGCAGCAGGACAGGAACAAGGUCUAUGGACCUCUAAUCCUAUGCUCCUUAAGUGAACGCCUUAUCAUUUCCAUUGAGCGGAUACCUCUAGCAGGAGAUCCAAGAAAGAUGCUCAUCCAUUUUUUUUUUUUUUUUUUUUUACUUACAUUAGAAGAAAAGAUCCUUUAAUCUUUUUUUUUUUUUUUUUUGGAAUGUCCUGUAGUUUUCAGGCUCAAAAUAUCCGGCUGAAUUCCUAAUGCAAAAUACCCCAAGGUUAAGUUCACUGGCUUCUUCUUUGUAUAAACAUGCCGUGGCUCACCACUAAGGCAAUAUUAUGCAAUUUGAAGCAGUAAUUAAAUUGAGGCUUCUGUCCAUCAUCCGCAGUGAGCAUGGGUAGAACCCCCCGCCCCCCAACACACACAUACACUGAAUUAUACAGCCACUAAUUGCUAUGGUGGGAUUAUAUGUUUUUGAUAGAGCAACAAUUUGUUUGACCAUUUAUUAUUUUUUUUUCCACAGCAGUCCCUGAUAUUCUUUGAGGGCUGAGAAAUGGAUACAUCAAGACAUUUCAAAGGGUUAGAUUGUGAGUGUUGGGGUAUUUUAGAGGCCUUGAAAAAUAGCAUCCUUCUUCACUGCCCAAGUUCAGAACUAAUUGAGGGUCAGGCGAAGAUUGAAACGCUAGCAUUCUCGGGGUGCCUGGGUGACUCAGUCUGUUAAGCAUCUCCUUUUUUUUAAAAAAAAAAAAAUUAUGUUUGAGACAGAGAGAGAGUGUGAGCGAGUAAGGGAGGGGCAGCGAGAGAGGGAGACAGAAUCCAAAGCAGGCUCCAGCUUUGAGAUGUCAGCACAAAGCCCAGUGUGAGGCUUGAACCCCCGAGCUAUGAGAUCAUGACCUGAGCUGAAGUCGGAUGCUUAACUGACUGAGAGCCACCCAGGCGCCUCAAGUGUCUGACUCCUGAUUUUGGCUCACGGUUUGUGAGUUCGAGCCCCACCCACUUCAGGCUCCGCACUGACGGUGCAGAGCCUGCUUGAGAUUCUCUAUCUCCCUCUCUCUCUGCCUCUUCCCUGCUCACUUUUCUAUCUCUCUCUCUGUGUCAAAAUAAAUAACAUUGAAAAAAAUGUCGGCA
ensembl:lncRNA